rnacentral:rRNA from 1 species
GGGUUGUGAGGUUAAGCGACUAAGCGUACACGGUGGAUGCCCUGGCAGUCAGAGGCGAUGAAGGACGUGCUAAUCUGCGAAAAGCGUCGGUAAGGUGAUAUGAACCGUUAUAACCGGCGAUGUCCGAAUGGGGAAACCCAGUGCAAUUCGUUGCACUAUCGUUAACUGAAUACAUAGGUUAACGAGGCGAACCGGGGGAACUGAAACAUCUAAGUACCCCGAGGAAAAGAAAUCAACCGAGAUUCCCCCAGUAGCGGCGAGCGAACGGGGAGCAGCCCAGAGUCUGAAUCAGCUUGUGUGUUAGUGGAACGGUCUGGAAAGUCCGACGGUACAGGGUGAUAGUCCCGUACACCAAAAUGCACAGGCUGUGAACUCGAAGAGUAGGGCGGGACACGUGGUAUCCUGUCUGAAUAUGGGGGGACCAUCCUCCAAGGCUAAAUACUCCUGACUGACCGAUAGUGAACCAGUACCGUGAGGGAAAGGCGAAAAGAACCCCGGCGAGGGGAGUGAAAAAGAACCUGAAACCGUGUACGUACAAGCAGUGGGAGCACCUUUAUGGUGUGACUGCGUACCUUUUGUAUAAUGGGUCAGCGACUUAUAUUCUGUAGCAAGGUUAACCGUAUAGGGGAGCCGCAGGGAAACCGAGUCUUAACUGGGCGUUAAGUUGCAGGGUAUAGACCCGAAACCCGGUGAUCUAGCCAUGGGCAGGUUGAAGGUUGGGUAACACUAACUGGAGGACCGAACCGACUAAUGUUGAAAAAUUAGCGGAUGACUUGUGGCUGGGGGUGAAAGGCCAAUCAAACCGGGAGAUAGCUGGUUCUCCCCGAAAGCUAUUUAGGUAGCGCCUCGUGAAUUCAUCUUCGGGGGUAGAGCACUGUUUCGGCUAGGGGGUCAUCCCGACUUACCAACCCGAUGCAAACUACGAAUACCGAAGAAUGUUAUCACGGGAGACACACGGCGGGUGCUAACGUACGUCGUGAAGAGGGAAACAACCCAGACCGCCAGCUAAGGUCCCAAAGUCAUGGUUAAGUGGGAAACGAUGUGGGAAGGCACAGACAGCCAGGAUGUUGGCUUAGAAGCAGCCAUCAUUUAAAGAAAGCGUAAUAGCUCACUGGUCGAGUCGGCCUGCGCGGAAGAUGUAACGGGGCUAAACCAUGCACCGAAGCUGCGGCAGCGACACUAUGUGUUGUUGGGUAGGGGAGCGUUCUGUAAGCCUGCGAAGGUGACCUGUGAGGGUUGCUGGAGGUAUCAGAAGUGCGAAUGCUGACAUAAGUAACGAUAAAGCGGGUGAAAAGCCCGCUCGCCGGAAGACCAAGGGUUCCUGUCCAACGUUAAUCGGGGCAGGGUGAGUCGACCCCUAAGGCGAGGCCGAAAGGCGUAGUCGAUGGGAAACAGGUUAAUAUUCCUGUACUUGGUGUUACUGCGAAGGGGGGACGGAGAAGGCUAUGUUAGCCGGGCGACGGUUGUCCCGGUUUAAGCAUGUAGGCUGGUUAUCCAGGCAAAUCCGGAUAAUCAAGGCUGAGGUGUGAUGACGAGGCACUACGGUGCUGAAGUAACAAAUGCCCUGCUUCCAGGAAAAGCCUCUAAGCAUCAGGUAACACGAAAUCGUACCCCAAACCGACACAGGUGGUCAGGUAGAGAAUACCAAGGCGCUUGAGAGAACUCGGGUGAAGGAACUAGGCAAAAUGGUGCCGUAACUUCGGGAGAAGGCACGCUGGUGUGUAGGUGAAGUCCCUGCGGAUGGAGCUGAGACCAGUCGAAGAUACCAGCUGGCUGCAACUGUUUAUUAAAAACACAGCACUGUGCAAACACGAAAGUGGACGUAUACGGUGUGACGCCUGCCCGGUGCCGGAAGGUUAAUUGAUGGGGUUAUCCGUAAGGAGAAGCUCUUGAUCGAAGCCCCGGUAAACGGCGGCCGUAACUAUAACGGUCCUAAGGUAGCGAAAUUCCUUGUCGGGUAAGUUCCGACCUGCACGAAUGGCGUAAUGAUGGCCAGGCUGUCUCCACCCGAGACUCAGUGAAAUUGAACUCGCUGUGAAGAUGCAGUGUACCCGCGGCAAGACGGAAAGACCCCGUGAACCUUUACUAUAGCUUGACACUGAACAUUGAGCCUUGAUGUGUAGGAUAGGUGGGAGGCUUUGAAGCGUGGACGCCAGUCUGCGUGGAGCCAACCUUGAAAUACCACCCUUUAAUGUUUGAUGUUCUAACGUUGGCCCCUUAUCGGGGUUGCGGACAGUGUCUGGUGGGUAGUUUGACUGGGGCGGUCUCCUCCCAAAGCGUAACGGAGGAGCACGAAGGUUAGCUAAUCCUGGUCGGACAUCAGGAGGUUAGUGCAAUGGCAUAAGCUAGCUUGACUGCGAGCGUGACGGCGCGAGCAGGUGCGAAAGCAGGUCAUAGUGAUCCGGUGGUUCUGAAUGGAAGGGCCAUCGCUCAACGGAUAAAAGGUACUCCGGGGAUAACAGGCUGAUACCGCCCAAGAGUUCAUAUCGACGGCGGUGUUUGGCACCUCGAUGUCGGCUCAUCACAUCCUGGGGCUGAAGUAGGUCCCAAGGGUAUGGCUGUUCGCCAUUUAAAGUGGUACGCGAGCUGGGUUUAGAACGUCGUGAGACAGUUCGGUCCCUAUCUGCCGUGGGCGCUGGAGAAUUGAGGGGGGCUGCUCCUAGUACGAGAGGACCGGAGUGGACGCAUCACUGGUGUUCGGGUUGUCAUGCCAAUGGCACUGCCCGGUAGCUAAAUGCGGAAGAGAUAAGUGCUGAAAGCAUCUAAGCACGAAACUUGCCCCGAGAUGAGUUCUCCCUGAGACUAUAAGUCUCCUGAAGGAACGUUGAAGACGACGACGUUGAUAGGCCGGGUGUGUAAGCGCAGCGAUGCGUUGAGCUAACCGGUACUAAUGAACCGUGAGGCUUAACCUUACAACGCCGAAG